rnacentral:lncRNA from 1 species
GACGUUACAGAGAACCCCAUACAACCCAAACUGUUAACCUUCAAUACUGCUUUGUACUUACGAUCUUGUAUCCACUGACUGUCUUGUUAGAUUAACCCAAUAAAUUUCAUUCACUCUGCAUACUCAAUCCUAUAGACAUCCUUUUAAUCCUUCAAUCACAGACGUAACUCGAUUUCACAAAAUAGUCAAGAGUAUUCAAACCCACUUCAUUUAAAAAUCCCGAUUC